GCCAUUUCGGACACAGCCCAUAUUUGAAGCGCGCUUAGCAUUUCGUGCCAAAUGGGACAGCGUUUGCGCCGCGUGAUAACCUCACGCACACUUCAAAAGCGACGUUCAGUGCGGUCUCUGAAAUGAGACACAGCCCUGGAUCAUGACGUUUGUGGAUCAGUUGGUAGAAUGAGCAAAAAGGUCAACGGUCAGCUCCCAGAGCUGUCCACGUGCUCAAGUGUACUCGAGCAAGACUCUUGACCCUGCCCACCCCUGCUGGUUGAGUCCAGGAGUGAAUAAAACUAAGGUCUCCAUGACAACCUCUCUAUGAGUUAGUGAAUGAAAACAUGAACCUUUGACGAAGACUCUAGAAAUCCUCAUUUCUCAUAGUGAAGAACUGAGAACUGAGAUAAUAACAGACUCUCAUUUUCCCAUCCUGUCUGGAUUUAAUGUUGAUAUUUGACUCACAUGAAGAUGAGAACAUUUGGAGGAUCACCUCAGGGAUCAAUAUUCUUCUUCUUCAUCAAAGAGACGACAUGUUUUAUCUGUUUAAGUUUUACAAAAACAAACAUGUUCCUGAAAAUGUGAUGGUUUUCAAAUGUUACACAUUUAUGGUGAGUGACUGACACCUUCUGGUGAAAUUGUGUAUUACACCAAAUACUCAGUAUGAAGCAGAUGGACAUCAGGGACAGAAAUAAGUCCUGACCUUUACGUGAUACGUGAAUGUCUUUUUAUUUCAUUGUUUUUCUCAGUUUGUGGAUUUUUUCCUAAUCGGAGGGAGGCGAUGGAGAGGGUGCCUACUUUCAAGUUCCUGGGCAUGACUGUGGCUGAUGACCUAUCCUGGGGGACCAACAUCACCUCGGCUGUGGGUAAGGCACAACAAUGCCUUUUCUACCUCAGGAAAUUAAAGAGGGUAACUUCCUCAGGGACUUAUGGUAAAUUUCUACCAUGCCACAGUAGAGAGUGUGCUCACCUAUAGUCUAUUGGUGUGGUUCUCCAGCUGCACCAAGGCAGACAAGGAGGCACUCCACAGAGUGGUCCAGGCUGUGGAGAGGAUCAUUGGGAAGAGCCUCCCAGAGAUCUCGGCAGUCUUUACCUCCCGCUGCCUUCGAUGGGUGAACAACAUCUUACUGGACCAGUUCCACUCAGCACACCAUGUUUUCCAGAGACUGCCCUCUGGUAGAAGAUUCCAGUCCAUCCGCUCCAGGACCAGCAGACUGACCAACAGCCUGUACCUUCAUGCUGUCUGACUGCUCAACGAACAACCGGCCCCCCCAUCCCAUCCCAUUCCCAACUCCCCCUUGGUAACAUAACUCCACCACCUCCAUAACUAACAUCGAUAACUGUGAAGUGGAUUGGAUUGCUGCACUGUAUACUAUCUACCAUCUAUUGCAGACUACCCUCCCAACCCCCAUUCAUCACCCCAUUUGUUCUAUUUAUGAUCAUUGUUAUUGAGUACUUGAUGCCAGUGGUGAUGUGGGUGCUCCAGA
rnacentral:lncRNA from 1 species